AUCUCUCUUGCUUGGUCUAUUGUUUAUUUUCGACGCUUUGUAGGCAUGCUCAGGAACGCAGUGACGUCAGAGCUCUAGCAACUGGGGAUAAGAUGGGAAAGGCACUCGACGGCGCCACCUAUCGCUGGCAAUAGGAAACAAUAAGCACAGCCAGGCUGAGGGUGCGGUUUACACCAGACCUUUUUUUUUACCUGAAAGCCUGACCACCUGUAGCUGAAGAGCCCACAUCAAUAAAAUCCGAUUCAGUGGUAUUUCAAGUA